CAGUCGCCGCGGUAAUACGUAGGGUACAAGCGUUAAUCGGAAUUACUGGGCGUAAAGCGUGCGCAGGCGGUCCGCUAAGACAGAUGUGAAAUCCCCGGGCUUAACCUGGGAACUGCAUUUGUGACUGGCGGGCUAGAGUAUGGCAGAGGGGGGUAGAAUUCCACGUGUAGCAGUGAAAUGCGUAGAGAUGUGGAGGAAUACCGAUGGCGAAGGCAGCCCCCUGGGCCAAUACUGACGCUCAUGCACGAAAGCGUGGGGAGCAAACAGGAUUAGAGACCCGCGUAGUCCCUGUCUCUUAUAA
rnacentral:rRNA from 1 species